GACGAACGCUGGCGGCGUGCUUAACACAUGCAAGUCGAACGGUGACCCAGGGCUUGCCCUGGUGAUCAGUGGCGAACGGGUGAGUAACACGUGGGGCAACCUGCCCCUGACUUCGGGAUAACUCCUCGAAGAGGAGCUAAUACCGGAUACGACCACUUCGGACAUCCGAUGGUGGUGGAAAGUUUUUCGGUCAGGGAUGGGCCCGCGGCCUAUCAGCUAGUUGGUGGGGUAAUGGCCUACCAAGGCGACGACGGGUAGCCGGCCUGAGAGGGCGACCGGCCACACUGGGACUGAGACACGGCCCAGACUCCUACGGGAGGCAGCAGUGGGGAAUAUUGCGCAAUGGGCGAAAGCCUGACGCAGCGACGCCGCGUGAGGGAUGAAGGCC
rnacentral:rRNA from 1 species